ensembl:snRNA U6 U6 spliceosomal RNA
GUCUUCAUUUGGGCAGCACAUAUACUAAAAUUGGAACGAUACAGAGAUUAGCAUGGCCCCUGUGCAAGGAUGACAUGCAAAUUCGGGAAGCAUUCCAUAUUUUU